CAAUCAUCAUGCCCUUUAUGUCCUGGGCUACACACGUACUACAAUGGCUGCUACAGAGGGCAGCGAAGCCGCAAGGCGAAGCGAAUCCCAAAAAGCCGGCCUCAGUGCGGAUUGCAGUCUGCAACUCGACUGCAUGAAGUUGGAAUCGCUAGUAAUCGCAGAUCAGCACGCUGCGGUGAAUAAGUUCUCGGUUU
rnacentral:rRNA from 1 species